rnacentral:rRNA from 1 species
CCCCUAGACGUUCUGGGCUGCACGCGCGCUACAAUAAUACGCACAGCGAGUAUCACCGAGCUCGAAAGGGCAAGGUAAACAAUAGAAAAGGUACUGUAAUGGUUAUAGAUCCUUGUAAUUAUUGAUCUUCAACGAGGAAUUCCUAGUAAGUAUGUGUCAUCAUCACGCACUGAUUACGUCCCUGCCCUUUGUACACACCGCCCGUCGCUCCUACCGAUUGAGUGGUCCGGUGAAUUAUUCGGACUGCAACGCGUUCAGCUUCUGGAUGCAGUUGCGGAAAGUUUUGUAAACCUUAUCACUUAGAGGAAGGAGAAGUCGUAACA